GGCAAGCCAUGGGACUGGAAGGCAGCAGGCAGAUGUCAGGGUUGGGGAUUACUGGCUCAGAAGCAGGAAAUCUCAUGUAGAAGCCCAGAACUUUCAAGAGAUAAGAAGUAGAGAGAUUCUGGUUUAAAGAGAGAUGACAGAAGCCCUGAAUGUCCUCUCUUCUGCUCCCCCAGAUACCUUCAUGGACUACAGGGCUGUACAUACGGUUAGACUCCUUGGCCUCAAUAUGAAUGUCUAAAGACUCCAAGCAUCCUAACUCCAAUUAGAAAUCCAGUAGCAAUGUAUUACCAUGCAGUUGUCUAAAACCUUAAAAAAAAAAAAGCUAUUUAAAUUGUCCAUCUUUUCACACUUUUGGUUAUAGAGUCCACUGUUUACUAGCCCCAUUUGGAAGUA
rnacentral:lncRNA from 1 species